UUUUCAAGAGGUGGAUAAUGAAAUCUCCACAAUCUCACCAAAAGUGAGAAUGCAUUGGAGAACACUGCAUGACAAGAGAUUUCGUCCUCUGAUGGAAGAGUGCUUGAGACCUUGGGAACACUAGAACCAAAGACCUCGCAAAUGGGCAUCAAUGCACCUGCUAGUAGUGGAGCCAAACCAUGCAAGGAUAAAAUCUGUACACAAUCCACAGAUGAU
rnacentral:misc_RNA from 1 species